GAUGAACGCUGGCGGCGUGCCUAAUACAUGCAAGUCGAGCGAACGGACGAGAAGCUUGCUUUUCUGAUGUUAGCGGCGGACGGGUGAGUAACACGUGGAUAACCUACCUAUAAGACUGGGAUAACUUCGGGAAACCGGAGCUAAUACCGGAUAAUAUUUUGACCCGCAUGGUUCAAAAGUGAAAGACGGUCUUGCUGUCACUUAUAGAUGGAUCCGCGCUGCAUUAGCUAGUUGGUAAGGUAACGGCUUACCAAGGCAACGAUGCAUAGCCGACCUGAGAGGGGGAUCGGCCACACUGGAACUGAGACACGGUCCAGACUCCUACGGGAGGCAGCAGUAGGGAAUCUUCCGCAAUGGGCGAAAGCCGGACGGAGCAACGCCGCGUGAGUGAUGAAGGUCUUCGGAUCGUAAAACUCUGUUAUUAGGGAAGAACAUAUGUGUAAGUAACUGUGCACAUCUUGACGGUACCUAAUCAGAAAGCCACGGCUAACUACGUG
rnacentral:rRNA from 1 species